rnacentral:rRNA from 1 species
UACGGAGGGUGCGAGCGUUAUCCGGAAUUACUGGGUUUAAAGGGUGCGUAGGUGGCGGGGUAAGUCAGGUGUGAAAUCUCGGGGCUCAACCCCGAAACUGCACUUGAUACUGCCUUGCUCGAGUACUGGAGAGGAGAUUGGAAUUUACGGUGUAGCAGUGAAAUGCGUAGAUAUCGUAAGGAAGACCAGUGGCGAAGGCGAAUCCCUGGACAGUUACUGACACUGAGGCACGAAGGCCAGGGGAGCAAACGGG